rnacentral:rRNA from 1 species
AUUGAACGCUGGCGGCAGGCUUAACACAUGCAAGUCGAACGAGUGGCGGACGGGUGAGUAAUGCAUGGGAAUCUGGCUUAUGGAGGGGGAUAACUACGGGAAACUGUAGCUAAUACCGCGUACCAUAGGAUGAGCCCAGGUGGGAUUAGGUAGUUGGUGGGGUAAAGGCUCACCGAGCCGACGAUCUCUAGCUGGUCUGAGAGGAUGAUCCGCCACACUGUGACUGAGACACGGCCCAGACUCCUACGGGAGGCAGCAGUGGGGAAUAUUGCACAAUGGGCGCAAGCCUGAUGCAGCCAUGCCGCGUGUGUGAAGAAGGCCUUAGGGUUGUAAAGCACUUUCAGCGAGGAGGCGUUACUCGCAGAAGAAGCACCGGCUAACUCCGUGCCAGCAGCCGCGGUAAUUC